GUGGGGAAUAUUGGACAAUGGGCGAAAGCCUGAUCCAGCCAUGCCGCGUGUGUGAAGAAGGUCUUCGGAUUGUAAAGCACUUUAAGUUGGGAGGAAGGGCAGUAAGUUAAUACCUUGCUGUUUUGACGUUACCAACAGAAUAAGCACCGGCUAACUUCGUGCCAGCAGCCGCGGUAAUACGAAGGGUGCAAGCGUUAAUCGGAAUUACUGGGCGUAAAGCGCGCGUAGGUGGUUCAGCAAGUUGAAGGUGAAAUCCACUGGCUCAACCUGGGAACUGCCUCCAAAACUACUGAGCUAGAGUACGGUAGAGGGUAGUGGAAUUUCCUGUGUAGCGGUGAAAUGCGUAGAUAUAGGAAGGAACACCAGUGGCGAAGGCGACUACCUGGACUGAUACUGACACUGAGGUGCGAAAGCGUGGGGAGCAAACAGGAUUAGAAACCCCGGUAGUCC
rnacentral:rRNA from 1 species